CGGGACGUGGUGUAAACGGUAACACUUCCGCUUUGGGAGCGGACAACGCAAGUUCAAAUCUUGCCGUCCCGA
rnacentral:tRNA from 1 species